CUUUGCGUUUUUUCUAAAAUAAAGUUCAAAGGUUCGGUUUUGAAGGAAAAGAGAAGAAGGAAAUAGCAUGAUAUAGAACUGGCGUGAAUUUUCCGGAGUCUGGUGCAUUAAUUCUAUGGAGCAAGUUUAGUAUUGCAACCAUGUGAAUGAUGUGAUUAGGCAUGGGAAGAAGAGGAGGGUGAUACUGUACGGAGAGAAUCUAGGGUAUAGAAGAACCUCGUGCUUGGAGCCACUGGAUUAGUGGAUGUGGUCUUUAACAUUAGAUUCCAAGUUAGGGGAAGUGAAAAGUAGGAUUCGACUCAUCAAAUGAAACUAAAAAUGGGCAAGAGCAUAUGCCAUGAUCGAUUCUAGAAGCUCCGGGACCAGAUACGUUCUUCAACUUUGAAUACAACCUUUGGCCGUUGCAUCUUAUUUUCUUCCUUUUGACAUUUCACAUCCAAUUUGGCCCCACGCUCAUCUAAAGACUAGACUAUG